GACUUUAGGUCACCAACACAAUUAAAAUAAAUUGUAAUAGAGCGGCACUUAAGUAAUCUAAGAAAAACACGUACUCUUAUUUUGAUAUCCAAAACAGCAUAACUACCAUGCUAACGUUUUAUUGCCGACAUAAAGCUUUCAUCCCUUUCUGGCAUAUACACAAGUGCGAGCGAGACGGCAACAUACGAAACGACGAUAACAUUUAGCAUGCUAGAAAUGAGCAGAUGGCACUGUACUACGCCCAUGGAGUUAAUAAGUACCUAGUAACUCCAUGACUACGCCAUAUGCAUAUGUUUUGCGGUCACUGAGUUGUCAAACGACAACAUUAUAAAAUCAGUGUAGCAACUUUUAAAAAUCGUCAUAUUGUUUACUUGUCUUAGAUUUUACACAUUUAAAUCACAUCAUCUUUGCACAUAACAAUAUACUUACCUCCUAUUAAAGUAUAAAUUCUACAAGUAAUUAAUACUCAACAAUAUUUAAAAUAAAAAGAGCCAAGAACGUUUAUCGAUAAAACCUAAAAACAUUAAAAUCUUCGAGGCAACACUUAAGCCGAAUUUACAUUACGAAAUUAGUGGCGUGAAAUUAAUUUCGUGACAUUAGUUUUACCAACAGUUUCACGUGUAAUUUAAUACUUUCGUAAUGCAUGCAUUAGUUUCAUGCAUGGAAAUUAGUUUCGUGCCCUGCGCGAUUUUUUGGUGAAAUUAAUGUCAUGCAACUAAUUUCAUAGUGUAAACGCGACGUGAAACUAAUGUCGCGAAAGGGCCUGCGCUAUGCGGACGUGUGUAUUGUUAGUUCGGACGCGUUUCAAACGUUGAAAAUGGCAAACCAACGAUGGAGUACAGAUAAAAAUAUAGAUCUUAUUAAUGAAUAUCAGCGACAACGGUGUCUCUGGGACCCGAAACGUAGGUAAAAAAGCAAAAUUAUAUUAACUCGUUCGAUAAUAGUUUUUAUAACUCUCAGGAUCUUGAUCUGCUAAUUCAGAGACUAACUUCAUUGCACCUAAAUGCCUUCUUGUUGACCAUCCUCGAAUCUACCAACCUUUUUUUUCUUGAUAGUCUUUUUUUAAGUUUAUAGGUAUAUAAACAUUUCUUUAGCUACAUUGAAUAUAGCAUAUAGCAUAGAAUUUAGCUUUGAUGGUGAUGGCGCCAUGGUUACUGCGAUACUGUGGAUUUCGCGACACUAAUUUUUUGACGAAAUUACUUUCGCAUAUAUCGAAACUACUUUCGUGAAACUGAGCUCAACAUGCAUGACACUAAUUUCGUAAUGUAAACUCGGCAUAAAACCGCCAUGUUUAGCGGCCAGAUGACGUCACAGUGGCACGCAUUUUCUGUUGACGUUUCAUUUCCAUAGUCCGUAUCACGAGUCCUGUCCGCAGCCAAAAAUAGAACUAAUUAUUUUGGUCAGCCAUGUUGUUUGUUAUUGUUACUGUCCAGUGCUGUUACUGUGUUCGGUUGUUGUUAAGAUUUUUAUUUAUUUCCCUGAUAUAAAGUGUUCUAUACAAUGUCUAAAGUGAUAAAAAGUGGUGGCCGAGAAAUGAUACUGCAAGUAAUGGCGUUUUGUGAAGCAGAACAGCAAAAUAAAGGACUUUUGAUACCAUUAGACAAUGUACGCAAGAGAGUUGCUGCCAUUACAGUUUUAUCAAUAAUCUAGGACACUAGACUUUUUAUUGAGCAAAGGAAGACAAACGAGCAGACGACAUACACGACAUACAAACGGCAUAUACAGCUAACUACCACUGAUAAAAAAUAAGUUUACUAAAUAAAGGCUAAUAUGGUUUUUAAAAAAAUCCAGGUGUGUCUGAGAAAACCGUAUCAAGAAUAAUACCAGAAGGAAAGACUGCUGCAAGUACUUCAAAAAAUAUUGUUACACCAGGGAAGAGUCGUCCACGUCCAAAUAAGAUAAUUGUAGAUGAUUUUGAUAUUUGUGCUAUUCGCCAUAAAAUUCACCAAUUGCAUGCUGUAAAAAAGGAACUGCCGACAUUAAACAAAUUACUUGCAGUGUUGAAACAAGACAUUAAUUUUAAAGGAAGUCUUACCACAUUGCAUAGAAUAUUGAAAAAAAAUUGGAUUUAAAUACAAAUGGUGCCAGUCCAAAAGAAAAAUAUUAAUGGAGCGCUCUGACAUAAUUGUCAGGCGCGCAAAAUAUAGAAAAAAUGCGCAAGAAUCGAACCACCGAAAAAAGACCCGUCGUAUUCGUAGAUGAGACUUAUAUCUACAGCACAUACCAAGUUGUUGACAAAGUGAGGAAGAGCUAGAACUUUUCACUUCAGAUUCUGUUGGGAGUAGAUGGAUAAUCGCACAUGCUGGUACAGAAAAUGGUUUUAUUAGUAAUGCUUUACUUAUUUUUAAAUCUCAAUCAAAGUCUUCUGAUUACCUUGAUGACAUGAAUUCAACCAAUUUCCUCAAGUGGAUGAUUGACAAAUUAAUUUCAAAUUUGUCAGCAAGGUCUCUUGUGGUUAUGGAUAAUGCUUCAUACCACUGUACCCAAAUAAAUAAAGCUCCAACCAUGUCAACUUUAAAAGACGAAAUGCGUAAGUGGUUGCGAGAAAAGGGUAUUUAUUUUGAAGAGAGCUGGACAAAACCCGUAUUAUAUCAACUUAUAAAACAAAAUAAAGGACCGCCUACUUAUGCUGUAAAUGAACUUUUAAAAAGUCACAAUCACGAAGUUUUAAAACUUCCACCGUAUCAUUGAGAUCUAAACCCAAUUGAAAAGAUAUGGAGCCUUGUUAAAAGAGGUGUGGCAGAGAAAAAUUUGGAACAAAACCCACAAAACAUUGUGAAACUUACAGAAGAUGCGUUUGCAAGUGUAACACCAGAAGAUUGGGCAAUUCAAUGUAAGCAUGUGGAGCAUCUAGAAGAUGAAUAUUUAAAAAACGACGGUCUGAUAGACGAAGAAAUGGACCGAUUGAUAAUAUUUGUGAGCAAGUGAUAGCGAAAUAGAAUCUGAUAAUGAUAGUGAUAUGAAUGUAGAUGAUCCGAAUAGUCCUUGCAGUAUGUCUGGAAUAACCACAAUAGAUGACCAUAAUUAUACAAUUAACAUUUAAAA